rnacentral:rRNA from 1 species
GAGGGGCAUCACGAAGUCAGCUUGCUGACUUUGGUGGCGACCGGCGGAUGGGUGCGUAACACGUAUGCAACAUACCCCUUAUUAGGGAAUAACCCGGAGAAAUUCGGACUAAUGCUCUAUAUUCAUCUUUGAUCGCAUGGUUAGGGAUGGAAAGAUUUAUCGAUAAGGGAUUGGCCUGCGUUCCAUUAGGUAGUUGGUGAGGUAAAGGCUCACCAAGCCGACGAUGGAUAGGGGAGCUGAGAGGCUAACCCCCCACACUGGGACUGAGACACGGCCCAGACUCCUACGGGAGGCAGCAGUGAGGAAUAUUGGUCAAUGGAGGAGACUCUGAACCAGCCAAGUCGCGUGAAGGAAGAAGGUUCUAAGAAUUGUAAACUUCUUUAGUAGGAGAGUAAAGACAGGUACGUGUACCUGUAAGGAAAGUAUCCUAAGAAUAAGUAUCGGCUAACUCCGUGCCAGCAGCCGCGGUAAUACGGAGGAUACGAGCGUUAUCCGGAAUUAUUGGGUUUAAAGGGUGCGUAGGUGGCGUUGUAAGUCAGUGGUGAAACCCCGGAGCUCAACUUCGGGCUUGCCGUUGAAACUGUGAUGCUAGAGUACAGAUGCUGUGGGCGGAACGCGUAGUGUAGCGGUGAAAUGCAUAGAUAUUACGCAGAACUCCGAUUGCGAAGGCAGCUCACAAAAGUGUUACUGACACUGAUGCACGAAAGCGUGGGUAUCAAACAGGAUUAGAUACCCUGGUAGUCCACGCCGUAAACUAUGAUUACUCGGAGUUUGCCGCUAUAGGUAAGCUUCCAAGCGAAAGCGAUAAGUAAUCCACCUGGGGAGUACGUCGGCAACGAUGAAACUCAAAGGAAUUGACGGGGGCCCGCACAAGCGGAGGAACAUGUGGUUUAAUUCGAUGAUACGCGAGGAACCUUACCCGGGAUUGAAAUGUAUAUGCGGGGUCUUGGAAACAGGAUCUGUUCCCUUCGGGGACAUAUAUGUAGGUGCUGCAUGGUUGUCGUCAGCUCGUGCCGUGAGGUGUCGGCUUAAGUGCCAUAACGAGCGCAACCCCCAUUGUCAGUUACCAUCAAGUAAAGUUGGGGACUCUGACAAGACUGCCGUCGUAAGGCGUGAGGAAGGCGGGGAUGACGUCAAAUCAGCACGGCCCUUACAUCCGAGGCGACACACGUGUUACAAUGGUGAGGACAAAGGGCAGCCAGAUGGUGACAUCGAGUGAAUCUCCAAACCUCAUCUCAGUCCGGAUCGAAGUCUGCAACUCGACUUCGUGAAGCUGGAUUCGCUAGUAAUCGCGCAUCAGCCAUGGCGCGGUGAAUACGUUCCCGGGCC